rnacentral:rRNA from 1 species
GUGGGGAAUAUUGGGCAAUGGGGGCAACCCUGACCCAGCGACGCCGCGUGAGGGAAGACGGCCUUCGGGUUGUAAACCUCUUUUGUACGGGAAGAAGGAAGUGACGGUACUGUACGAAUAAGUCCCGGCUAACUACGUGCCAGCAGCCGCGGUAAUACGUAGGGGACGAGCGUUGUCCGGAAUUACUGGGCGUAAAGGGCGCGCAGGCUGUGCUGCAAGUCAGCUGUGAAAUGUCGGGGCUUAACCCGGGCAUGCGGUUGAGACUGCAGUGCUGGAGUGCUGUAGAGGCAAGUGGAAUUCCCAGUGUAGCGGUGAAAUGCGUAGAUAUUGGGGAGAACACCGGUGGCGAAGGCGACUUGCUGGGCAGCAACUGACGCUGGGGCGCGAAAGCCAGGGGAGCAAACGGGAUUAGAAACCCUAGUAGUCC